rnacentral:rRNA from 1 species
UACGAAGGGUGCAAGCGUUGCUCGGAAUUAUUGGGCGUAAAGCGCACGUAGGCGGCCUUGCAAGUCGGAUGUGAAAUCUUAUGGCUUAACCAUAAAAGUGCAUCCGAAACUGCAGUGCUUGAGUACUUAAGAGGAUCGCGGAAUUCCCGGUGUAGAGGUGAAAUUCGUAGAUAUCGGGAGGAACACCAGUGGCGAAGGCGGCGAUCUGGGAAGAUACUGACGCUGAGGUGCGAAAGCGUGGGGAGCAAACAGG